GCUGGGGAUAUAGCUCAGAGGCUGGUAGAGCGCUUGCCGCGCAUGCGCAAGACCCUGGGUUCAAUCCCCAGCCCCACCA
rnacentral:tRNA from 1 species